rnacentral:tRNA from 2 species
GCGCUCGUAGCUCAGCUGGAUAGAGUACCUGGCUACGAACCAGGCGGUCAGAGGUUCGA